UGCUCCCCAAGUGUAAAACACCUCAUCAGUUGUGUACUCACACAGAACUUUAAGAAGAACCUUCACUGCUUUCCAUUUACUUCCACACUAUAUCGGGAACUUUAUAAAACAUGGCAUGUGGGCAUGUGGCAGGGGAGCCAGAAGCCAGUGCACCUCCCAUCCAGGAGAGGGCAGCGUGUGAGCUGAAACAGACACCUUCACACACACGGGCACAUGGACCAGACACCUGGAACAACUAACGGGAGCUCCAUCGCCCUGAAACCCUGAAGUCCUUCACAUCUUCACCAGAUCUUUCUGCUUCAGGGACCCAAUGAAUAAAAAUGGAGACGCAUCCUGCAAAAAGACACAGGCAGCAGCGCUUCACCCCGACGCAGACGGACGGAGCGUCCAGCUUCCUCCCGGCCGGGUCCUGCUCCAGUUUGAGAAGUUUAACAACAGCGUGAACACAACGACGCCUUGGAAGACGAGUUACACACUCCUCACCGUCCCCAUAAACAUGCAGCAGAAUCAAGGAGAUCCUCCUCCAGUGACCGCCGUCUCACGUCACGUGCCGGCGUAAAGGGCGUCAUGGGGAGCUGGCAGCAGCACACGCGUGAGCGUGAUGGGCCCUUGGCGUGGAAACACGCUCGGCGCCGCCACCGUCGUCGAUCUGCCCUCUGCUGAUGUUUCAUGCCUCCCAUCCUCAUCGUUUUCCCAUAUUUCCCAUCUCGAGACACAUUUGUGACCCCCCCAUCCCUGUGUUGGGGGGGCUGUAGCAGGCGACAUUCACAGGCCUCACUCAUGUUUCCAUGGUGACCACUCAUUAUGGCGCACGGAUAUGUUCAUCGCUUCAUAUUAAUUUCGAGGACGCUUUCUGAUAUCACAAAACACAUAAAGGGGAAAUGGACCGAUGAUGCACAGAUAUAGAAAAUACAAUGAUUUUUAAAAAUCUAAAUGACGAAAAUGACAGUAUUUUCUGAUGUAAUCAUCAGUCCCCAGCCUGGCGGAGUGUCACGGCAACUGGAAGACCUGAUGUGUGACACACAGUAGCAAUACAGAUAAUCAUUAACACUAAAUAUUCACCAUGUGUUCAUACACUCUAGGUAAAAAUACCAGAAUAUUCCAGGCACUGAAAAACUGAAUGCAGAAGCGCCAAAAAACAGAAAAUGGCGGCAGAAAGGGGACCUUUGACGAGCUUUAAUCAGUCCAGCAGGGGGUGCCUGGGAAGGCUGCCCGACCCAGCAGCGUCAGAGCCAUAAACCCCAUUAAACUGGUGCUGACGUCACCGUCACUGGGGACACCCGGUGGGCGGCUCACAGCAGCCAUUCCUCCAGUAAAUCAUUUACUAAGAAGCUACAGAGAGCCUAAGGAGCGACAGCAGGCACUGUGAUGAGCCUGUGUGAAACACUACAGAGUUACACACAGCCACGUCGCGACUGA